CCUACGGGUGGCAGCAGUAGGGAAUCUUCCACAAUGGGCGAAAGCCUGAUGGAGCAACGCCGCGUGGGUGAAGAAGGUCUUCGGAUCGUAAAACCCUGUUGUUAGAGAAGAAAGUGCGUGAGAGUAACUGUUCACGUUUCGACGGUAUCUAACCAGAAAGCCACGGCUAACUACGUGCCAGCAGCCGCGGUAAUACGUAGGUGGCAAGCGUUAUCCGGAUGUAUUGGGCGUAAAGGGAACGCAGGCGGUCUUGUAAGUCUGAUGUGAAAGCUUUGGGCUUAACCGGAGUAGUGCAUUGGAAACUGGGAGGCUUGAGUGCAGGAGAGGCAAGUGGAACUCCAUGUGUAGCGGUGAAAUGCGUAGAUAUAAGGAAGAACACCAGUGGCGAAGGCGGCUCUCUGGUCUGUGACUGACGCUGAGGUUCGAAAGCGUGGGUAGCAAACAGGAUUAGAUACCCGAGUAGUC
rnacentral:rRNA from 1 species